UACAGAGGUCUCAAGCGUUGUUCGGAUUCAUUGGGCGUAAAGGGUGCGUAGGUGGCGGGGUAAGUCAGAUGUGAAAUCUCGGGGCUCAACCCCGAAACUGCAUUUGAUACUGCUUUGCUAGAGUACUGGAGAGGAGAUUGGAAUUUACGGUGUAGCAGUGAAAUGCGUAGAUAUCGUAAGGAAGACCAGUGGCGAAGGCGAAUCUCUGGACAGUUACUGACACUGAGGCACGAAAGCUAGGGGAGCAAACAGG
rnacentral:rRNA from 1 species